UAGUCCACGCCGUAAACGAUGUGCACUAGGUCGAGGGAGUUCUGACACUGCUCUCGGCCGAAGCAAAAGUGUUAAGUGCACCGCCUGGGGAGUACGGUCGCAAGGCUAAAACUCAAAGGAAUUGACGGGGGCUCACACAAGCGGUGGAGCAUGUGGCUUAAUUCGAUGCAACGCGAAGAACCUUAUCCUGGAUUUGACAUGUAUGGAUUAGCUUGCUGAAAGGUGAGUGACGCCUUCGGGUGGAACAUACACAGGUGCUGCAUGGCUGUCGUCAGCUCGUGCUGUGAAGUGUUGGGUUAAGUCCCUUAACGAGCGCAACCCUUAUCGCUAGUUGCCAGCGAGUCAUGUCGGGGACUCUAGCGAGACUGCCGGUGUCAAACCGGAGGAAGGUGGGGAUGACGUCAAGUCCGCAUGGCCUUUAUGUCCAGGGCCGCACACGUGCUACAAUGGCAGGUACAGAACGACGCAAUACCGCGAGGUGG
rnacentral:rRNA from 1 species